CGUACCCGUAUAUUAAAUACACCUACUUUUACUGGAAAGAAAAAGAUAUACAUAUAGGUAUAUAUUUUAUACAUACACUCCCCGAAGAAGAUAGGGAGCCACCCAAGUCUUUGCUAUACGAUCGUCGUGGAGAUGGACGUCGCUUCGCGAGCAAGCGACGACGAAAAAAAUCAAAUGUGACUUGUGACAACUCUGCUGGCCCUAGCAGAAGACAGACAUGUUGGCUGCUGCAGGAAGGAACAGCUCGCCAGCCGCCGCCGAUUCAGUAGCAGCCGCCGCCUCGCUGUUCUCGCGGACCUGGAGCUCCGUUAUCUGCCGGAAGAAGUCAACAACGUCGACGGCAAGGACGCCAGCCAGCCGCAGCGUGAGUAGAUUAAUUCUGUGAGGCGGCACGACGAAGACGACGACGACGACGACGACGAGAGGCAGAAGAAGACGGAGGAGGAAGCGGCUUGGGCCCAGCCUCGCGCCAGUGCAGCUUGAAGACGAGCGAGGAA